CUACGGGUGGCAGCAGUGAGGAAUAUUGCGCAAUGGGGGCAACCCUGACGCAGCGACGCCGCGUGGAUGAUGAAGGCCUUCGGGUCGUAAAAUCCUGUCAGAUGGAAAGAAGUGUGAUGUGGUUAAUACCCAUGUCAUUUGACGGUACCAUCAGAGGAAGCACCGGCUAACUCCGUGCCAGCAGCCGCGGUAAUACGGAGGGUGCAAGCGUUGUUCGGAAUUACUGGGCGUAAAGCGCGCGUAGGCGGUUUGUUAAGUCAGAUGUGAAAGCCCACGGCUCAACCGGGGACGUGCAUUUGAAACUGGCAGACUUGAGUAUUGGAGGGGGUGGUGGAAUUCCCGGUGUAGAGGUGAAAUUCGUAGAUAUCGGGAGGAAUACCGGUGGCGAAGGCGACCACCUGGCCAAAUACUGACGCUGAGGUGCGAAAGCGUGGGGAGCAAACAGGAUUAGAUACCCUAGUAGUC
rnacentral:rRNA from 1 species